ncrna:Manduca sexta (tobacco hornworm) microRNA mse-mir-279d precursor
UGAUGAUUUUUGUGGGCGAGUUUGCUUCUGGUUUCAUGUUGCCGAGUAACCAUGACUAGAUCCAUACUCGUCUGCAGCCAUCAACU